UUAAAAUGGGAAAGAGUCCUCUCUCCUAGAAAAUAGAAAGAUGAAUGAUGGAAGAAGAAGGAAGAGGACAAGGCAUGUCUCUGCUGAAGAUCAAUCGAGAGUCCGGCUGUUUAGGAUCUCAAUCUGCGUAAUCUCAUCGUUGUGAUGAAGAAUGAUAUAUGUGCGGGAGAUGGAUGAAUGAGGAUUGCCAUUUUUUUUAAAAA